rnacentral:rRNA from 1 species
UACGUAGGGCGCAAGCGUUGUCCGGAAUUAUUGGGCGUAAAGAGCUUGUAGGUGGUUUGUCGCGUCUGCUGUGAAAAUCCGGGGCUCAACCCCCGGACUUGCAGUGGGUACGGGCAGACUAGAGUGUGGUAGGGGAGACUGGAAUUCCUGGUGUAGCGGUGAAAUGCGCAGAUAUCAGGGAGGAACACCGGUGGCGAAAGGCGGGGUCUCUGGGCAAUAACUGACGC